rnacentral:rRNA from 1 species
UACGGGGGGAGCAAGCGUUGUUCGGAUUUACUGGGCGUAAAGGGCGCGUAGGCGGCCACCGCAAGUCGACUGUGAAAUCUCCGGGCUUAACCCGGAAAGGUCAGCCGAUACUGCGGGGCUAGAGUGCAGAAGGGGCAACUGGAAUUCUCGGUGUAGCAGUGAAAUGCGUAGAUAUCGAGAGGAACACCAGUGGCGAAGGCGAGUCUCUGGACGACUCCUGACACUGAGGCACGAAAGCUAGGGGAGCAAACAGG